rnacentral:lncRNA from 1 species
GUCCUACACACCUCACAGGGCCACUGGGAGGGACAAAUGACACAUUCUGUGUGAAAGCGCCUCACAAAGGGAAAGCAUGUUCUCAUCACCCCUUUAUUCAAAUCCGCAUGGCGGGCCUCCCUGGGCCGGCCUCCGCUCCCUGCUAUGGAAUCACAGUAGUGAGCAGACGGACAAAGGCGGUGACCUCUGGGCAUGUGGCUAGCAGGAGACACAGACAACACAGAGAGAGAAAAAAAUACGUUCGGCGGUGCCAAGAGGUAUGAGGAGAAGCAGACCAGGAGUAACUGCUGAGCACAGAGGCCAGGGAACAGGGAAGUUUGUUGACGUGCCACCACCUCGCACCAGGUUAUUCCCCCUGCCCUGCUGAUUUGCAUGAGAUAACAGCAGGAAGUAAUUCCACGCAACAGAACAGCAGAAACCAAGAGAUGUCAGAGCCAGGGCAUCCCAAAGCAGGAAGUGACAAGGGUUAGAGGUAAGAUAGUAAAGCAAAAAGAGAGCCGGGAUUAAUCAGGGCACAGGCGUGACUUAACCAAAUGUGGUCCUCCACGUUCCUGCCGAGGAACACUCAAUGCAAAACUAUUUGCAUGCUGCCGCUGCAUCUGGUCUCUGCGAACACUGCAAGGGGGCUCGUCAUCCAAAGGCAAAAAGUAUGUGCUGGAUCAGCUUCUUGCCGCAAGCACGAGCUCCCUGGUGUGAGGUCCGAGGGUGGCAGUAAAUGGGCCGGCACAGUGCCGGCUGCUCGGCUCGAGGUUACUCGCCUGGGAGGGCUCUCACCUUCCAGGAGAGGAGUAGGCACUGUUGCUUCACUCGGGCCGUGUGCUUGGCCGUGGAGGGGCCAGAUUCUAGGCUAUGAAGUGCUCUCCUCACCACUGGACCUUCAGAGUGUGUCCCAGAAAGGUUGGCAGAGGAAUCGACUUGGCUAAGAAGGAUAGUGAUGUCUGACAGCCGGUUCCCAUUCACCCUCAGAAGGAACCAACCCUGCUGACACCUUGAUUUCCCAUUUCCAGCCUGCAGAGCUGUGAGACGGUAAAUUUCUGUUCUUUAAGCCACCCAGGGUGUGGUUGGUUACGGCAGCCCCGGGAAAUGAACACGAUCACCAAUAACAGGGUGCG